AUAACGGACACGGAUUUCAAAGGCAGCAGGAUGAGAGUUAACUAUGUAUCAGGUCUGUUUUCAUCAAGACAUGAAGACUCUGGAGUGGGACAAGAGAAGGAUGGUGGGGUGUUAUUCCAAUAGACACAUUAAGGUAAAGAGGUGGGACAAUGAUGCUGACAGGACAGGAGGAGGUGACAUUCAGACAUUCAGCGCAGACAUUUUCAUCCAAAGCAACUUGAGGAAGAAAACAAGAAGCAGUUCAUCCUAAAAGUGGGCUGCUGUAAUGUUUACAUCUAUGGAAAGAGGAGCUGAGAAGAAAAGAAAGACUGGAAAGCAGUACUUCUUGUUGAGGACAAUCCUGAACA